rnacentral:lncRNA from 1 species
AUGGUAAAAUAUAAAAUAAUUAGGAAGUAAUGAGUUGCGAGUAUUUGUUACCUUUAUUUUAAGUAUAAUUUCAUUUUAAGUUUAUAUAAUUUGUAAGUUUAUAUACUUUGUUAGCUUAAUAAUUCAAUAAUAGAUCCAUCCAAGAACUGACUCGCAAAAUUCCUGAAAAUUUAAUAAUGGGCUCUUGUGAGCCAUGGAUGCCAGCUCCAGUUUACUUCUGCCAUCAUCUCAAACACACCUACAGGCACAUAUAGACUCCUGUGCGCUUCAUUUUCUCCACAGCACUGAUCCCCUGGCUGCAUGGCUUAUCGUGGGCUCCUCAGGACCUCCCCUAGUCCCUUUAAUUGUCUUUCCUUACCACCUUGAUCAGUGCCUGGCACAAACCUCCCGCCUCAGCCUCCUCAGUAGUUGGGACUGCAGGUGCACACCACCAUGCCCAGCUGGCUUUUUACAUUUUUGUAGAGAGGGGGCUCUCGCUAUGUUGUCCAGGCUGUUUCAGCCUUUUAUUCGUGGAAGCCCCACUGUCUAUUGUCAGUGUGCUCAGAAUUAGAUUACUGUCCCCAUUUCUUUUGAGAAAGCACAAGACGUCUCAGUCUCUAGUUCCCCAAAUAAUGCUUCCUCUCAGAAGUGGAGACAUCGUAGGACUCCCCUGCUAGGGCUUUGAUGAACUUUGAAUGAAACCAUGCACGGAAAGUGCUUAUCACAGUGCCUGGCACUCCGUAGCCCCUGAGUAAACAGCAGCCACCAGUGGCAGCAGCAGCAGCAUUAGUACUAAUAUCGUAAACAUGAACUUGAGAGACAGGGUGCAAGUCUAAUCAGCAGUUCUCUUUCUGCCUCUCAUCUCCCUCCACGAUCCUAUUUUAAGCCACACUCUUUAUCCUUUAGAUGGUUUUAUGAGAUUGAGAUUUUUCUCAGGCAUCUUGUCCCUGAGUGCAGCAGCGCCAUCUUGUGGUCAUUACUGGUUAUGGCGCUGUCCUAGAUCUAAGCUCCCAAACUCCGAGCCGCAGCCAGAACCCAGGCUUGGGAGGCAGCAGGGAUUUUGAAAGCCAAUGUGGCAGUCGGGCCAACACACCAGAUUACACACUACACCCUAAGAGGGUUUAAGUUUCCUCUGCGUCAUUUCGGGACAGCUGCUUAGUGUUGACCAUUUCUGUUUGUGGCUGUCCUCUCUCAUAAUGGGCUCUGUCUUGCCCUUUCUCUGCAUCUGCUGCUCCCUCUGUCUUGAGCUUUCAGGCACCGUCUACAAACGGGGUUUAAAAUGAGCUAGCGCCAUCUACUGGGCGAAUGCCGUAAGGUCGGUUGUGAGGUCCCGGAAUCUGCAAAGGAAUGAAUGAAUUACAAAUCUGUGGCUUUAUGGGGGGAAUGUCGAGAAUCGGGCACACGCUGAAGUGUGAGAACCACUGCCAUUAUGGAGAAGAGGCUUCCCGCCCCCUCACCUGCCACUCUAGAAAUCCAGAGAAGAGAUUCCACUUGGAUUAAGACUUGCAUAAGUGGGGAGUUGAGUCCAGUCUCUUUCCCCCACUGCAAUACCCUGUUGCGGUGACAUGUAAUAAUAAUAAAAAGACUUGCAUGAACUCCUU